CCCUUAGAUGAUCUGGGCUGCACGCGCGCUACAAUGAUAAAUACAACGAGUAAGCCUUUUAUGAAAAUAGUAGGUAAACAUUAAAAUUUAUCGUGACUGGGAUUGAACUUUGUAACCAGGUUCAUGAACGAGGAAUUCCUAGUAAAUGCAGUUCAUUAAACUGUAUUGAUUAUGUCCCUGCCCUUUGUACACACCGCCCGUCGCUACGAUCGAUGAAUGGUUUAGUAAGAAUAAAGGAGGCAACGAAUCUAUUCAAACUUGAUUAUUUAGAGAAUGUAUAAGUCGUAACA
rnacentral:rRNA from 1 species